UGGGGAAUUUUGGACAAUGGGGGCAACCCUGAUCCAGCAAUGCCGCGUGUGUGAAGAAGGCCUGCGGGUUGUAAAGCACUUUAGGUGGGGAAGAAGGGCGUUAUCCGAAUAGGGUGAUGUUUUGACGGUACCCACAGAAUAAGCACCGGCUAACUCUGUGCCAGCAGCCGCGGUAAUACAGAGGGUGCAAGCGUUAAUCGGAAUUACUGGGCGUAAAGCGCACGUAGGUGGCCUGUUAAGUUUGAUGUGAAAGCCCUGGGCUUAACCUGGGAACGGCGUUGAAAACUGGCAGGCUAGAGUGGGGCAGAGGGCCGUGGAAUUUCCGGUGUAGCGGUGAAAUGCGUAGAGAUCGGAAAGAACAUCGGUGGCGAAGGCGGCGGCCUGGGCCCCAACUGACACUGAGGUGCGAAAGCGUGGGGAGCAAACAG
rnacentral:rRNA from 1 species